rnacentral:rRNA from 1 species
AUGUUAGUGUGGAAUGUGCGCGGCCUCAAUAAUCGAGCUCGGCGUACGGGUGUUCGGAGCCUCGUCAGUUCAACAGGCACUUCCAUUGUCUGUUUGCAGGAGACUAAGUUGGCAGUUGUAACCCCUACUAUAGUUAUGGAAGACUUUGGUGCGGAUUUUGAUGAUUAUUCUGCUUGCUUUUCGACAAAGGGCAUCUUUAUUGACUCACAAUGA